CCGCUUUGCCUCCAGCAUUUAUAAUGGUGUUAAAUAUAUGAAAAAAAAAGUGUUUUUAAAUUUAUAAGGGGGGAUCUCACCCAGAGACUUGCUAUGUUAAAAGGGUCACCAGUAGAAAAGUUUGAGAACUGCUGA